rnacentral:rRNA from 1 species
UACAGAGGGUGCAAGCGUUAAUCGGAAUUACUGGGCGUAAAGCGUGCGCAGGCGGUUUUGUAAGCCAGAUGUGAAAUCCCCGGGCUUAACCUGGGAAUGGCAUUUGGGACUGCAAGGCUGGAGUGUGGCAGAGGAGACUGGAAUUCCUGGUGUAGCAGUGAAAUGCGUAGAUAUCAGGAGGAAUACCGAUGGCGAAGGCAGGUCUCUGGGCUGACACUGACGCUCAUGCACGAAAGCGUGGGGAGCAAACAGG